rnacentral:rRNA from 1 species
GCUUUUAGCCCUAGUGGCGGACGGGUGAGUAACACGUGAGAAUCUGCCCUUAGGAGGAGGAUAACAGCUGGAAACGGUUGCUAAUACUCCAUAUGCCGAGAGGUGAAAGGAAUUUCUGCCUAAGGAGGAGCUCGCGUCUGAUUAGCUAGUUGGUAGGGUAAAGGCCUACCAAGGCGACGAUCAGUAGCUGGUUUGAGAGGAUGAUCAGCCACACUGGGACUGAGACACGGCCCAGACUCCUACGGGAGGCAGCAGUAGGGAAUUUUCCGCAAUGGGCGAAAGCCUGACGGAGCAAUACCGCGUGAGGGAUGACGGCCUGUGGGUUGUAAACCUCUUUUCUCAAGGAAGAAGUUCUGACGGUACUUGAGGAAUAAGCAUCGGCUAACUCUGUGCCAGCAGCCGCGGUAAUACAGAGGAUGCAAGCGUUAUCCGGAAUCACUGGGCAUAAAGCGUCUGUAGGUGGUUUGGUAAGUCUGCUGUUAAAGACUGGGGCUCAACCCCAGAAAGCAGUGGAAACUGCCAGACUUGAGUGUGGUAGAGGUAAAGGGAAUUCAUAGUGUAGCGGUGAAAUGCGUAGAUAUUAGGAAGAACACCAAUGGCGAAGGCACUUUACUGGGCCAUAACUGACACUGAGAGACGACAGCUAGGGGAGCAAAUGGGAUUAGAUACCCCAGUAGUCCUAGCCGUAAACGAUGGAUACUAGAUGUUGCACGUAUUAACCCGUGCAGUAUCGUAGCUAAGCGUUAAGUAUCCCGCCUGGGAAGUACGCUCGCAAGAGUGAAACUCAAAUGAAUUGACGG